rnacentral:rRNA from 1 species
UACGUAGGGCGCAAGCGUUGUCCGGAAUCAUUGGGCGUAAAGAGCGUGUAGGCGGUCUGUCACGUCGGCUGUGAAAACCCGGGGCUCAACCCCGGGCCUGCAGUCGAUACGGGCAGACUGGAGUGCGGUAGGGGAGACUGGAAUUCCUGGUGUAGCGGUGAAAUGCGCAGAUAUCAGGAGGAACACCGGUGGCGAAGGCGGGUCUCUGGGCCGAUACUGACGCUGAGGAGCGAAAGCGUGGGGAGCGAACAGG